rnacentral:ncRNA from 22 species
CGCAUUGCCGGGUACUAAAAAACUAAAUAGGUGAAUAUAUUAAUCCGGGAAAGAGGUGAAAAUCCUCUACAGGCCCUAGCUACUGUAAUACGGACGAAAGCCAAAUAGACGUCACUGGAAGAAAUUCCGGGAAGACUGGUGAGUAGGAUGAUGUUAAGUCAGGAGACCGCUUUUAUAUUCGAUAUCCAAA